rnacentral:rRNA from 1 species
CAUGCAAGUCGAACGGAGUGUUGCGCUGAAAUUGAGAUUAGCUUGCUAAAGGAUAUUUCUUGUAACACUUAGUGGCGGACGGGUGAGUAACGCGUGAGGAACCUGCCUUACAGAGGGGGACAACAGUUGGAAACGACUGCUAAUACCGCAUGAUGUGGAGGGGAGACAUCUCCCUUUCACCAAAGGAGCAAUCCGCUGUAAGAUGGCCUCGCGUCUGAUUAGAUAGUUGGUGGGGUGACGGCCUACCAAGUCGACGAUCAGUAGCCGGACUGAGAGGUUGAACGGCCACAUUGGGACUGAGACACGGCCCAGACUCCUACGGGAGGCAGCAGUGGGGGAUAUUGCACAAUGGAGGAAACUCUGAUGCAGCAACGCCGCGUGAGGGAAGAAGGUUUUCGGAUUGUAAACCUCUGUUUUUAGUGAAGAAACAAAUGACGGAAGCUAAAGAGGAAGCCACGGCUAACUACGUGCCAGCAGCCGCGG